GUGUGAAUAUGUAUGCAUAUAUUUGCCAAGUAUGGUAUAUGUAAGUAUACACACACACACACACACACACACACACACACACACACACACACACA
rnacentral:miRNA from 1 species